GGUACAGCAGUACCUUUCUUAGCUUCCGUGUCUGUACUCCUGUCUGCUUAUCCAAACUGGGGGCGUGCCGACCGCCAUCUACUGUAGAUAAUACACUGACUAUAUGGAUAAGUAUCUCAUACAACCACACUUCAACAAAUCUGAAC